rfam:Homo sapiens chromosome 7, GRCh38 reference primary assembly.
AAAAAGGCUUUUUUUUUAAAGCCACCAUUUCAGUCCAUUAUAGUAACU